GUGCUAGCUUCAGCAGCACAUAUGCUAAAAUUGGAACGAUACAGAGAAGAUUCGCAUGGCCCCUGUGCAAGGAUGACACGCAAAUUCGUGAAGCAUUCCAUAUUUUU
rnacentral:snRNA from 1 species